GCCGGGCGUGGUGGCACAUGUCUGUAAUCCUAGCUACUUGGGAGGCUGAGGCAGGAGAAUUGCUUGAGCCCAGGAGGCAGAGGUUGCAGUGAGCCAAGAUCGUGCCAUUGUACCCUAGCCUGGGCGACAGAGCAAGACUCUGUCUCAA
ensembl:misc_RNA Metazoa_SRP Metazoan signal recognition particle RNA